rnacentral:rRNA from 1 species
UACGUAGGGACCAAGCGUUGUUCGGAUUUACUGGGCGUAAAGGGAGCGUAGGCGGCGUGUCAAGUCAGUUGUGAAAUCUCCGAGCUUAACUCGGAACGGUCAACUGAUACUGUCACGCUAGAGUGCAGAAGGGGCAAUCGGAAUUCUUGGUGUAGCGGUGAAAUGCGUAGAUAUCAAGAGGAACACCUGAGGUGAAGACGGGUUGCUGGGCUGACACUGACGCUGAGGCUCGAAAGCUAGGGUAGCAAACGGG